rnacentral:rRNA from 1 species
CCUACGGGAGGCAGCAGUGAGGAAUAUUGGUCAAUGGGAGAGAUCCUGAACCAGCCAAGCCGCGUGAGGGAAGACGGCCCUAUGGGUUGUAAACCUCUUUUGUCGGAGAACAAAACCCGGGACGUGUCCCGGACUGCGUGUAUCCGACGAAAAAGCAUCGGCUAACUCCGUGCCAGCAGCCGCGGUAAUACGGAGGAUCCGAGCGUUAUCCGGAUUUAUUGGGUUUAAAGGGUGCGUAGGCGGCUAAGCAAGUCAGAAGUGAAAACCCAGGGCUCAACUUUGGGACUGCUUUUGAAACUGAGUAGCUAGAGUGCAGGAGAGGUAAGCGGAAGUCCUAGUGUAGCGGUGAAAGG